rnacentral:rRNA from 1 species
UACGAAGGGUGCAAGCGUUACUCGGAAUUACUGGGCGUAAAGCGUGCGUCGGUGGUUCGUUAAGUCUGAUGUGAAAGCCCUUGGCUCAACCUGGGAAUGGCAUUGGAAACUGGCGACCUAGAGUGCGGUAGAGGGUAGUGGAAUUCCCGGUGUAGCAGUGAAAUGCGUAGAGAUCGGGAGGAACAUCCGUGGCGAAGGCGACUACCUGGACCAGCACUGACACUGAGGCACGAAAGCGUGGGGAGCAAACAGG